rnacentral:tRNA from 1 species
UCCCCGGUAGCUCAGUGGUAGAGCACUCCCUUGGUAAGGGAGAGGUCGAGAGUUCAAUCCUCUCUCGCAGCACCA